AGAGUUUGAUCAUGGCUCAGGAUGAACGCUGGCGGCAGGCUUAAUACAUGCAAGUCGAACGGUAACAGAGCUAGCAAUAGCUGCUGACGAGUGGCGGAUGGGUGCGUAACGCGUAUGCAACCUACCUGUAAUUGGAACAUAACGUUGAGAAAUUAGCGCUAAUAUUCCAUGUGGAUAUGAGACGGCAUCGUUUUAUAUUUAAAGAUUUAUUGAUUACAGAUGGGCAUGCGUAUCAUUAGCUAGUUGGUAAGGUAACGGCUCACCAAGGCAACGAUGAUUAGGGGUUCUGAGAGGAUAUCCCCCCACACUGGAACUGAGACACGGUCCAGACUCCUACGGGGGGCAGCAGUAGGGAAUAUUGGGCAAUGGAGGCAACUCUGACCCAGCCAUGCCGCGUGAAGGAAUACAGCCCUACGGGUUUUAAACUUCUUUUAUUAUAGAGUAACCGGAGGUACGUGUACCUCCCUGCAAGUAUAUAAUGAAUAAGGAUCGGCUAACUCCGUGCCAGCAGCCGCGGUAAUACGGAGGAUCCGAGCGUUAUCCGGAUUUAUUGGGUUUAAAGGGUGCGCAGGCUGAUCGAUAAGUCAGGGGUGAAAAAUUUCAGCUUAACUGGAAUCGUGCCUUUGAUACUGUCGGACUAGAGUGUAACUGACGUGACUGGAAUGUGCCGUGUAGCGGUGAAAUGCUUAGAUAUGUCACAGAACGCCAAUCGAGAAGACAGGUCACGAAGUUACUACUGACGCUCAUGCACGAAAGCGUGGGGAUCAAACAGGAUUAGAUACCCUGGUAGUCCACGCUGUAAACGAUGAUUACUCGUUGUUGGGCAUUUAUGCUCAGUGGCCAAGCGAAAGUGAUAAGUAAUCCACCUGGGGAGUACGAUCGCAAGGUUGAAACUCAAAUGAAUUGACGG
rnacentral:rRNA from 1 species